CCAAUUUUUGCACUUCUUCCUUCUUCUGAUUCUCUGAUAAUUCACCAUCUUCAUUAUCACAGAAUACAAUCUUUCCUUUGAUCAUAUCCUUAUCCAUGGAAUCUGGCCUGCAGUUUCUGAAGCAGAACAUGUUUAAGACAGCCUACGUAUUGCACACCUGGCAUCAUCUUCAUCCCCAUUAGCUGUCUUGGCUGCCUUUGCAUAUAUCAGAGGGUGCAGUGGAUAUUUGCCGAUAUUAGCAAAAUUUAUGCCUUCACCCUGAAGUGAGAAGUAUGAGCUCGUCAAUUUUCAAACAACGUAUUGUUUAAAGGUAUAUGUGAUCUGAACAUGGAUCAGAAGGCAACCCUGAUCCAUAUAUAAUCACCGUGCUCGGUUGGCAUCAUAAUAGAAUCAUUGUUAGAAUAGAAACAGGACUCUUGAUCCUGUAAUCAAUUUAUUUGUUAAAUGAGGUGAUGUAUCGUGACUGCUAGUAAUAAUUCUGUCUAACAGACCUCUAAAUUAUGAAGA